rnacentral:rRNA from 1 species
GAUGAACGCUGGCGGCGUGCCUAAUACAUGCAAGUCGAGCGAACAGACGAGGAGCUUGCUCCUUUGACGUUAGCGGCGGACGGGUGAGUAACACGUGGGUAACCUACCUAUAAGACUGGGAUAACUUCGGGAAACCGGAGCUAAUACCGGAUAAUAUUUCGAACCGCAUGGUUCGAUAGUGAAAGAUGGCUUUGCUAUCACUUAUAGAUGGACCUGCGCCGUAUUAGCUAGUUGGUAAGGUAACGGCUUACCAAGGCAACGAUACGUAGCCGACCUGAGAGGGUGAUCGGCCACACUGGAAGUGAGACACGGUCCAGACUCCUACGGGAGGCAGCAGUAGGGAAUCUUCCGCAAUGGGCGAAAGCCUGACGGAGCAACGCCGCGUGAGUGAUGAAGGUCUUCGGAUCGUAAAGCUCUGUUAUUAGGGAAGAACAAACGUGUAAGUAACUGUGCACGUCUUGACGGUACCUAAUCAGAAAGCCACGGCUAACUACGUG